ACCACAGGAAAGAGGCUGACCUUGUGCACCUGUACUGCUGCUGCAGAGCUUUCGGGUUACACUGCAGACAGACACAGAGACAUUGUGGUGUCCUAAAACUGUUCUCAUCAAAAACAGGGCCAAAAAGUUCUAAAGUAUCCAUACUGAGGCCUGGAUUGUACUGUGGGUGGAUAAUGGUGCAAUAUUUUGCAUUCUACUUAUAAGGAACCUUGGAAGAGAGGCAACAUGACCAAACAGAGAUAUGGUCGCUAUAGCAACAUGGAGGAGGAUGAGUAUCAUGUCCCUGAUAACCAUGAAGAAGAGUUCUUGGUGCACAUCCUUCCUGCCAGAGCCUCCGAGUCAGACAGAGACUAUGCAGAUAGGGACAUUUCCAGAUCCUCCUACGCUCAGAGUAUCAGCUCCACUUCAAGUGGCAGCCCUAUCAUACCCCCACGGCAUCCCAAAAGAGGCCUCCCUUGUACUUCUCCAGGAAAUACCGGACCUUCUGUCAACCGCCAACUGAAGCCCAGAAAACCAAGGAGGACCCAGUUAGAUGGCAGAGCACAAGUCAUGGAGCCUACAGAACAGAACAUGCUACUCCCACCAAGGUCCCCACCAUCCUUACCGAAGGACCUAAUGAACAAGCUGUCUGGGCUGAACCUCCAGAGGCCCUGCAGGAGAGACAGACAGAGAAGACAACAAAAUGUGGAAUGCAAUACACCCUCAAAUAGUAAUUGUUUAAGGAGAGAGCAAACUAUCCAAAGAUAUUCACUGGACCUUGAAUCUCAACUCAACACAGACAUAAGGUUACAACAAAGGCACAAUACCCCAGAAGAGUCCUCAGUGAAGCGCCAACAACACCAUGAGUGGCCUCAAACCAAAGAUGACGUGGAGCAGCAUGACUUUGUCCCCAAGGAAAGACCGUGUCAGACAUACAAUGAACAAGACUGGUACAUAGGAGCUUGUGAUCGAGCAGAGGCUGAACAUGCCUUACACCUGGUGAAUAAGGUUUGUAAUGUGAGGUGUUAUUUAAGUAAUGAGGCACGAAGGGAGCACUGUAUAUGUCACGACUUCUGCCGAAGGCGUUGCCUCUCCUUGUUCGGGCGGUGCUCGGCGGUCGACGUCACCGGCCUUCUAGCCAUCAUUGAUCCAUUUUUCAUUUUCCAUUGGUUUUGUCUUGUCUUCCCACACACCUGUUUUCAAUCCCAUUCAUUACCUGUUGUGUAUUUAACCCUCUGUUUCCCCUCGUGUCUUUGUCAGAGAUUGUUUUAUGUCAAGUGUUGUUUUAUGUUGCACAGGUGCGCGACGGGUCCUCGUACCCAUGUUCGUUUAUGUAUGUACGUAUUUAGUGUUUGGAGCAUGUUAAGUGGACUUAUAUUAAAAGACUCCAUUUACACUCCGUUUGACUCUCCUGCGCCUGACUUCCCUGCCACCUAUACACACGACUCUGACAGUAUAUUUUAAUGUACAGUAGUAAUUAAGUAAUAUUAAUGAUACAAUCUAUAUAAAAUGAUUACGUACUGCUUAUGAAUGUGUUAUGUAUGGGUUGUAACUAUGAAGUCAUUGUAUAUGUACUCUUUCAAUAAAGUGUUACCCAAAUUUCUCCCUAACAGAAUGGGGCAUUUUUGGUGCGGAAUUGCUCAAGGAACACGAAGAGCGAACCCUUUGUCUUAGCAGUGUUUCAUGACAAGAGAGUUUUCAACGUUCAAAUUCGGUUCAUUGAUAGCACCUCCAAGUAUGUCCUUGGGACUGGGCAAAGUGCCAAUGAUAUGUUUGAUUCUGUGGCAGACAUCGUCAGAUUUCACUCCAUAUUCCCUGUCGUCCUGAUCAAUGGGAGGAACCAAUUAGCUAACAGAUAUCAGGGGAACUGUGUGUUGACAUACCCAAUCACAAAAGAGGUUGUCAACCAACUGUUGGAAUGAAAGGCCCUCUGUGCCCAAGCAAUAACUAUCACAUUUUGUCUGAGUUGAUCCAAUGGAUUUGUCUGUAUUUAUCUGUUUUGUAAUGUGCUAUAUUUUACUAUAAAUUGUCACAUUUCGCUCUCUACUCUGUACAUAGACUCACCAUUGUCUUGCCUCUGAGUACAUGUACUGUAUAAACAUUAUGUAAACUUGCCUAAAUAAAAAGUUUUAAGGAAGCAUUGA